CUAGGAGCUGGCUGGUCUGCUGUGGGCUCAGCGGAGCCAUCUGAGCCCUCCUGCAUCUGCGGCAUCCUCCAGUGGCUGGUUCAGAACACUCUCUCAGCCGGCCUGGGCUCCAGGAAAGAGUGUGACAGCCACAUGCCCUUUCCUCUUCCUGCAGUACAUUUGGAGCUGUCCGUCGACCAAAGUGAAUCUAUGGCCAAACCCAGCGUCUGUGGGAAGAAAUUAACUGUGGGAAUGGAUAUGGGGAGAUAAGGGAAAUUAACUGUCAGUGCAGUCGCCUGUAGCUGAAGGCUAAUUGCUCUACAAUAUUGUGCUGGUUUCUGCCAUACAUCAACAGUUAUCAUCUAUUUCUUGAAAGCUGGGAAGACUUCCUCAGUGAAGGGCUUUUGAUAACAUGUCCACUGAGACACUUGAGCCAUCUUUCCAAGAUCUUUA
ensembl:lncRNA